rnacentral:lncRNA from 1 species
GGAUCUACACUGGAGGCAUUGUGUCAUGAGAAAUACCAGAGAUAAGAAGUCCUGAAAAACCAUAAUUUGUGUGCAAGCUGACAUGUUUUGACAGCAUGGACAGGGAUGAAAAGACAGAGCAGCCCACGAGAGAGCUCUGUAGUGGUGGCAAUGGGAGUUAGUCCUUUCUCUCCCCAUCCAGGAUUCUGGGCAGUGGACUGGACAACAGCAUGUAUGUUCAAGGCUGCAUUGUUCAGCUUCUGAGUUGUUGUUUUUUAUUAUUAUUAUUAUUAUUUAUAUUUUUUUUUCUGCCUUUGUAACUUUUCCCUCCCUCUUCUCUGCAGCAUUCUCAAGGCUGAUGUGCUGCUGGUGGAACCAGACACUCAGAUUCAUCCCAAAUCUCUUCUGCUUUUUUACCAGCUCUACUUCCCAAUUCAAACUGGACAAGGGAGCUGUGGUUCUAACCAGGCCAAGGUGCAUGUUAGGAAGUGAGAACAGGAGACUGUAAGCUCUUACCAGCAACAAGAAAAGGCUGUAGACAGCUUAGCAGCUAUCAGGACUGGAGAUGGAUGGGGGCAGAAUGCUGAGCACUGGGAGCUGGAUGGAAGGAAAAGAUUCCUCUUCUGCCCACACCAGCAGGACCCAUCAGUUACCUCGUGGGUUUGACAGCAGCCACUGGGCCAGCCCAUGGCUCCAGCUCCACACUGACCACUGCAGUGGGAAGAUGAAGCAGCCUUGCAGCCAGCUGCUCAGCGUUGGUCACUGCCUGCGAGAAGGAUGGGCCCAUCAUCACGGCUGA